CUUGGCGCCGCCACGGACAUGGAAAGAGAAGAGAAGAAGAAACGCUAGUGUGGGGGACGUUUGAGCGGCCAACAGGUGAGUUUGCAGUCGUUGCUGGUGAAAAAUCAGUUUGAAGGGGUUGUUAUUCGUUAUAAUAACCGCCUCGCUAUACAUUAUCCUUUACAUAUCACUCUACCCACGACAGACAUUUCUGGAGUUUAGUUAAUAUUUGAUUUUUCACCAGCAACGACUGCAAACUCACCUGUUGGCCACUCAUUGUGUUCAAAACCAUAGACAUCAUACAGGAUCAUAUAUGACCAUCGCAAGUAGGGCUCGGGGGAUUACUUUUCACAAGUCCAAGAUUCUUUUAAAUUGUAUGUAUUGCACAUCAACUUUAUGCAGGUGUCAGAAAGAUGGUAUGUAACUAUGUUCUCUUGUUUAAAUGUUUUUUUUUUUUAAUGCAGUUUUGUUUCUGUUGGAAUUAUCUUGUAUUCAGUGUGUUUCAAGUACUAGAUGUUUCUAAAUGGCAUGUAUUACACAACAUCAAGUACAUGUAGGAUAGGAUAGAUCAUAAUGGUAGGUAAUGCAUGUGUUGUUUUGCAAUUACAUUGUUCCAUUGUCUACAAGUAUACUAUAUAGUUAAACAAGAAACUGAUCCCAUUCCUAGUAUAUCCACCCUGCUAGCUGUUUCACAUGGUGCUUUCUUGGGGUGUCUUCUUUCGUCAUGAUCAGAGUAAUACAACUUUUUCUUUUGGAGGUACUUGUCGAUCAUUGAAUUUGUCAUCAAUGUCGACAUGUUGAUGCUGAUGAUUCCUGAACUGCUCCAAGUUCAGCAGUAGCAGCAGUUCAGUCUGAUGGUUCGGUGUGGUGUCUCACCUGGUGAGACAGGCAAUGUGGCAGCACAAGAUCACACUGUGUCCCUGUCUGCUGUGGAGAUGUCCUCUGAUGAAACUGCUGAAGAGCACCCAUCUCCAUUCGCCAACAUUUCAGCCCUUGUGUGUGACCACAGUUAUCUCCUCACUCGGUGUGGUGGAAAAUGCUCUGGUCUACAUAGUAGGGUUUGUAGUCAGGCAGAUUCUUCGAAAGCGGUCCUGUGAUGUGUGCCGUGCAAGCUUGGUCAGAGAUGCUAGACCAGGAUCAUUUGACAAUAGCUACCACCUUCUAGCCCUGAAAAACCAACGGAGGCCUAGUGAUUCCAUCACAAGGCACAGUGAAGGUGCUGAGAGCUGCAGAGAGGGUGAUCCGCCAGGCUUCAGCAAUACAAGCUCCUAAGGUGUCAACAGUCCCACACAUUGUGUGGGAGGAGAUUGGGACAGAGGAUGUUUUUUCUUCUUGUGGAGCACAUUGAGGAGACCCAGUUUGGCAUUGACAACCAUCAGUCUGAUUUGUUGUCAUUGGUUGUGUCUGUGUUUCUAAAGAUAAGGCUCCAUCAUGUUGCCAAACUCUCUUGAACUACAGAAAGGGAGCACGAGAAAGAAGCUCUGCAAAACGGUCCUCUUUCAGGGGUUUGUGUGUGUGUGUGUGUGUGUGUGUGUGAGAGAGAGAGAAAAGAGUGUGUGUGUGUGUGAGAGUGUGAGAGAGAGAGAAUGUCACAAAUCAUUAUAAAUUGUUUCUUCAGUUUAUUAAAAUAUCUUAUUUUACUGCAACUAUCUGUUUCUGCUUCUUUAUCAUAUUUAUAGUGUGUGAUUUAUAAAUUACCUUAUAUCCUACAUCACAUAUUUUGAUUUUGGACAUCUGGUCACUUUAUCUUAUAUCAGAAUAUCACAUAACUCUUAAGCCUACUAUGAGUAUUAAAAUACGCUGAACCAUGUGUCCUGUAUCAUAGCUACAUGAAUGACCUUUGCAGCAAAAAAAAAAACAGCGUCAGUGUCAGUUAGGUAUUCAGUGAGAUAUGAUUAAUUAAAUGCGCUGACAGCUCAUUGCACCUGGCAAACAAGUUACACUGAGUGGAGCUGGCGCCCGAUCCAAGAUGGAUAUAUAUGAUUUCUAUGUUCGAAACGUCCCCCACACUAGCGUUUCUUCUUCUCUUCUCUUUCCAUGUCCGUGGCGGCGCCAAGCAAGUCGGUGUGUGAAUUACAUGACAGUUUACUAGCAUGCA